CCCUUCAUCUCACCAUAACCCUCAGCCAGAUUCUCACCAUAAGGCCCAUUAGAGUGCUCCAUUUGGCAGUCUUUAAUCUUCCCAUUUGCAUAGUUUUGAGCAUAGGCUUCAAGGGUUUUGUUCCAUGAGAGUGGACCAACACCAACCUCUUUCCUAGCUUGGGUGUGUACCUCAAGGAAGUCUGUAGGGGUAUUUUGAGCUUGGCAAGUUGAGAACAUGAUGAAGAAAAUGGUUGUGAUCACAAUGUAUGGGGACUUCAUUUUUCCUCUUGUUUGAGUUUUUUGUCUAAGAGAGAUUGGUUAUGAAUAUGAUAUAUGGUGCAUGGAUUUAUAGGAAGAGAGAGGAGCGCGUCAACCAUAAAAGUAGAAGCAAUUGAAUAAAAUUAAUAUAUUUACCAUAAUUGUGAGAAAAUUAUAUUGUGGGAAUAUGCGGUUAACAUGACUACAAUUGUUGUUGUCGUGCAUGAUGAGAUGUCAAAAAUUACAAUAUUAUGGCCAAAGAAAAGUAUACUUAGGAAGCGUGAAAAGAAUAUUUGAGACUCCAUAAAAAAUAAAUUAGUAUCUAUUUUUCUCAUCGUAAUUGUAUCAUACUUAGGAAGCGUUGGAAAUAUAUUUUCGACUUCAUAAAUAUUUUUUUCAAGUUUAUCUAGUAUAAUUAAUAUUUCUUAAUUUUAAUCGGUUAAAAAUGACUUUAAAUUACUAACAAAUUAUGAGAUAACCACCCAUCAUGAUGUAAUUUGUGUUUUCCUAUUUUGCCCUCAAUAUCUUUUUAUUUCUACCAAAAAACCAUACAAUAUUAUUUUCUUAUUUUAUCCUUAUUAUCUUCUUAUUUUAAAAGUGUAUUUAAAAAAUUGAAUAUUAGACCAAUUGAAUAAAUUCAACCGUAAAUUUAGUGCAAAAAAUUAUAUUUGAAUUUAUAAAAUACAAACUAUACAUUACAAACGAUAGAAAAGUGGGUUAACAGACACGACAGUGCAUGUCAACACGCUAGUUUAUAUAAUGUCCUCAAAAAAAUAUCAAAAUUCUACUCUACCAUCACCUAAUUUAUUAACUAUUACUAAAAUACCAUUGUCUUAUUUUUCACCACUUUAUGAUAAUAUUAUAGACAUCGGAAGUUCUGUUAUACUGAAGAAGAAUCAGAAGUAUAUUUUGCGAUUACAUAAUUAUUUUAUUGUAAUUUUUUUAACAUGAUUGAUAUUUUCAUAAUUAAAUUGUUGAAAAUGAUUAUUAAUUCCAAAUAAAAGUUCGAGAAGGAAUUUAAAAUUAUUAUUUUUUGCUUAAGAUAUCUCAAUUUUAUUUUCAAAUACUACUAUUUAUAUGAUAUCCUAAAAAAUAGUAUCUUUACUCUUCUUUUACCUACUUUAUUUACUAUUACGAAUAAUAUAUUAUUAUUUUUUACGACUUCUAAUUAAAAUUAAAGUGAUGGAGAUUCAAAUUAUAUUGGAUUUAUUUUCUUUUUUCAUUUGGUCAUUUAAAUUUCAGGAAUCAAAGUAGUAAUUAUUUUAAAUAAAAAAGUAAAAUUAUUAUCAAUUUUUCUGAAUGAAAAUGAUAUUAUUCUUAUCAGGCGUUAAAAGUAUAUUUUUAGAUUUCAAAAUAUAUUUUCCAAGUUAAUUUAGCAUGUCUAAAAUUUCCAAAAUUACAUCACCUCCUUAUUUACUUUCAAGUGAACUAUAUUAUCACCUAAUUCAUUUAGUUUUACUAACUACUAAUAACAUAUUAUCAUUUUUAACCACUUAGAAAUAAAAUUAAAGAGUUUGAGGAUGAUACCUAAUUUAUUCAAUUCAUAUUUUGUUUAUUUUCCUUAUUUGUUUAAAAAAUUUAUUUUUCACAAAUCAAAAUAGUAGUAAUUUUAUAUAAAGCAUGUGAUGGAAAAGUCAAAGAUAUAUUUUGAGAGUUCCUAACUACUUUUAAAGCUUAUUUAACAUGUUUGACAUUUUAAAUGCUCAUUUGAUUUUGUUUAUGUUCCAAACAAUAGAUUAAGAAAUAAUUAUAAAAUCGCCCAUUUUUGUAUAGAAAAUCUCAAAUCAAUUAUAAAAUACUAUAUCGUUAAGAAACUAUCAACUAUACUUCAAUAGUUUAAUUUAUUUAUUUUUACUGACAUCAUAUUAUCAUUUUUCACCAAUACGAUAUCAAAAUUUUUGGACUUAGGACGUCAUUGCCUUUUCUUUUGAAAUUUAAUUUUCAAAACUCAAAAUAGAAUUAUUUUUAAAGAAAAACACUGUUAACAAUUUGUGUCACUGAAGAUGAUAUUAUGUUUUGUGAGUGUCAAAACUAUUUUUGAGAAGCCGGAAAUAUUUUUGAAACCUUAUUUAUCAUUUUUGAUACUUUUGAUGAAAUUGAUAUUAAUUUCCAAACAAUAAUUGAUAUUAUUGAAAUAUCGUUCAUUUUGUUGAAAAUAUCCAUUUGAUUUUCAAAUAUACUCUCUUUAACAAAUCAUUUAUUUACCAUGUUUGACAUUUCUAAAUUUCCAUUUGAUAAAAAAUGACUUUAAGUUUCAAACAAUAUUUUGAGAAAACUGAAUUUGACUUUCAAAUGCUACUCUAAAAAAAUUACAAACUCUAUUAUACUAUGACCUAUUUUUUUUAGAAUUAUAAUAUCAUUAUUAUUAUUAUUCACGGAUGAGAAAUGAAAUUAUAGAGAUAAAGACUUGCAUUGUUGCAUUACUAUUGUUGUGAAUCCGAUUGCAAUGAUUUACUUAUUUUACUUAAAGAUAAAGUUUAAGAGAUGAUUAAGAAAAAAAAUAGUUUAUGAUAAUUAUUUAUAAAAUACAUAAAAUUUAAGGAGAUUUUAUGCAUUUUUUCUUAUAUUUAUAAAAGUGCCAAAUUUAUUAUCGUUUUAACUAUUUACACUUUUACUUAUUUAAUGGACAAAAGAAAUAUAAGAGACAUUUUAUAAAAUAAAAAAUAAUAUUUUUUUAUUUAAUUUAAAAGAGAAUAUAUAUAUAUAUAUAUAUAUAUAUAUAUCUUCUAUACUAUAUAUAAAAGGAAAAUAUGGUAUAACUACCAUCAUGGUAUAAUUUUCCAUUUCCUAUUUUGUUCUUAACCCUUUUAAUUUUUACAAAAAAAGAUAUAAUCAUAUAUAACCACCACCAAUAUAUUAACCACCUCCUCACCUUAAUUUGACAAUUAAAAUAAAGACAAAGAAAUAUAAUAUAAAGUGCACGAAAUAAAAAUUGCAAUAUUUAUAUCUUCUAUAUCUAUAAUUCUAUAUAUAUAUUUCUAUACUAUAUAAAGGAAAAACAUGGUGUAAAUACCACCAUGAUAUAAUUUUCCAUUUUCUAUUUUGCCCUUAACCCUUUUAAUUUUUACAAAAAAUAUAUAAUCAUAUAUAAUCACUGCCAAUAUAUUAACCACUUCUUCAUCUUAAUUUUAUAAUUAAAAUAAAGACAAAGAAAUAUAAUAUAAAUUGCACCAAAUAAAAAUUUCAAUACAAACUCAUUACUAGGUGCUAUUCAUUACUUAACUUUUUUUUUCAUACACAUUUAUUGAUGAAACCUUUAAUACAAUAUAACAUAUAUGACUUAUUCAUUAAAUGAAUUAAAAUGCAACAUAUAAUAAUUUUUUUUUGGAGUAAAUGUAAUAUAUAUUGGAAUGUAAUCAAUAGUUAGUUAGAUUGGUUAAGAAGCUUCUAUUUUUAGUUUGGUAGUUAUUGUUAGUUAGCCAUAUAUAGAAACUUCUAUAAGUAUGAUUGUUGCCUUGUUAAUGAAGUAACCAUUCAUUGAGAAACUCUCAACUCCUCACUUUACUCUUCUUCUCCUUCUAUUUUCGUUAACAUUUGGUAUCUAGAGCUACAAAAAGAUCAAGCCAUCUUCUGCUGCAAAUAUGGCUCAAGCAACAGGAAAUUUUGUCACUAAUCUCCCCGUGCUUGAUGGAAAGAACUGGUCAAGAUGGAGUAUUCAGAUGAAAGCAAUCCUUGGCUAUCAAGAAGUUGCAGAUCUUGUAGAGGAAGGAUUGCCAGUAUUAGAAGAAGGAGCAACAGAAGCACAAAGAAAUGCUCACAAACAGAACAAAAGGAGAGAUUGCAAAGCAAUCUGUCUCCUUCACCAAGCAGUGGACAAUGCCCACUUUGAGAAGAUUGCAGGGUCUGCAACAGCAAAGGAGGCUUGAGAUGUGUUGGAAAAGCAUUAUGCAGGGGNNNNNNNNNNNNNNNNNNNNNNNNNNNNNNNNNNNNNNNNNNNNNNNNNNNNNNNNNNNNNNNNNNNNNNNNNNNNNNNNNNNNNNNNNNNNNNNNNNNNCUGAAGCAAACCUUGCUAAGGAAGAAUAUGAAGACCCUGAUGAUGAUGAGGCAGUUCAGCUAAUGAUGACAACAAUCAGCAAACUCAGAAAUGAUGUAUGGUACCUUGAUUCAGGGUGUUCCAAUCAUAUGACUGGACACAAGGAUUGGCUAGUAAACUUUGAUCCAACCAGAAGAAAUAAGGUGAAGUUUGCUGACAACAGGGUUGUAGCAGGUGAAGGAACAGGGGACAUUCCACUAAGGAUGCAAGNNNNNNNNNNNNNNNNNNNNNNNNNNNNNNNNNNNNNNNNNNNNNNNNNNNNNNNNNNNNNNNNNNNNNNNNNNNNNNNNNNNNNNNNNNNNNNNNNNNNAGCUUCUAUUUUUAGUUUGGUAGUUAUUGUUAGUUAGCCAUAUAUAGAAACUUCUAUAAGUAUGAUUGUUGCCUUGUUAAUGAAGUAACCAUUCAUUGAGAAACUCUCAACUCCUCACUUUACUCUUCUUCUCCUUCUAUUCUCGUUAACAAUAUACGUGAACUUACAUAAAUUAUAAUCAUUUGCCACUUAUAUUUUUGUCAUUAGAUACUAUUUUUUUAAUCAGUAAAUUGCGUAUUUCUAUCCUUAAAGUUUUGUCUUGCACUAUGUAGUAAAAAGUUGAAACUUUUAUUUUCUACUAAUUUAUUAUGGGAAGCAUGCAGGUAAAUAAGAAGUACUCAAUUCUCAAACAUGAGCAAAAAUCUCUUGUUCCAAAGUCGCUAUGCCACUAUCUAUGUCAUAAAUCAUGUUCUUGUCGCUUCCUCCAUUAUUGUUUUUACUCCUUCAAUGGCUUAACCAAACAGUUUAAAUCAUAAGAUGGUGAAGAGAGGGGAACAGCAAGCUUAUGUUAACAAAGUUAAUAGUGUAAAUGAAAAAAAAAAAGAACAAAAAAUAUGGUCAGAGUGUAGUAGUUAGAUUUAAUAGAAAAGAUAAAAUUUAUAUUUUCACCAUGAUUUAUGGAGGUUUGUGUUUAAAAAUGGAUUAGUCUCUAAUAGUCAACUUAACUGGUUAAACUGUGAGACAUAUUAUGAAAGUUUCUAUCAUCUCUCUUUCAUUUCUAAGGUCUUUUAUUAUACAUGCAUGGAAAAAAUGGGGUUAACCUUUAUGUUAAGGUAUAAUUUCCAAAGUAGUGUCAUAUAAUUUAUUAAUGAAAAGUUGUAGUUUAAUUAUUAUUUUUUUAUUUUCUAAGCUAUUUCUCAUUUAUUGAAAAAACUAUAAAUAUUAAAAAAUAUUACAAGAUUCUAAGAUAUAUCUAUUUAAUAUUUAAUAACUCAAUAAUAAUAACUUGUAUGUUGGUAGGCACUCUGAAGUAUGUCAAUCCACAUUUUUUUCUUUUGUGCUCGAGUUUACAUUCUUUAAAUAUUAUAAACAUCCAAUAUGAUAUUUGUAAUUGAUUAUACUCAAAUUGCAUAAUUAGUAUGUUUACCAGAUUUAAAAAAUGUUACACUCAAAUAUAUUAAUUACUCGUAAUUAGUUUUAUAACUAAAAAUAUCAUCUUUGGAACGAAUUUGUAAGAUUAACAUAAAAUCAAAGUUUGUGUCUUACCAUAAUUAUUAUUAUUUUAGUAUUAUGUUUACAGAUUUUUACAUAUUAUAGACCAACUGAUGAUUUUGUCUCUUUGGUAUAAUCAUGUUGUGAAAAGGAAUCAUAAUUUUAGGGUAACUUGAAUUCAUAGUGUCUCAUUAUAGUGUAAAAUACAAGGAAAUAAUAUGUAAACCUCAUAUUAGAAUGUAAGCAUAUAUUCCCAAUAGGUUGGUCCUAUGACAUGAUUAACAAUACACACAUGUAGAAUUUAUCUUCCUCUAAAAGAGAUAUUACGUAGAUUUAACCGAUAACUUUUAUUUGAUUCCUUCAAUAGUUCAGUUCUUUAUGACUCUUGUCCCAAGUAUAGUGUGAGGAAUCUCUCUAUUCAAAUAAUUCCUAGCUUAUGGAUCCAUAUGACUUAGUGCAAAGAAUUGUGUGAAUAUGAUCUUUGAUCUAUAAUCAUCAUUUAAAAUGUCUUUAAUACUCUAAUGGUUAUAAAAUCUUUUUUAUUGGAGAUUAGUUAGGUGGAUCUAUAAUCUCACAAUUGAGGUAUACAAUCGGUAAAUUAUAAAAAAUAUACUAUGAAAAUAAUGAAAAUCAUAGUAAACAAUUUAUGACAUAAAUGCAUCAUAUUAUAUAUCAUGUUUAUUAAAUGUUGAAGAAAGGGAAAUCAAUAAGGUCGUUGACCAAUAACAUUUCCUGGUGGAGAAUAGCUACAAAUAACAAAGACCCAAUUAUUAUCACACUUAGCUCUAGCACACCCAAGAUGAACAGAAUCACGCCACACAAUCUGAGUAUAAUGACCACACUCAUCAUUUACACAUGAAUUAGAAUCGUGAUUAUAGUUAGGCUUCUCAGUGAGCCAGAACUUCACAGCAUCUGAACCCUUCAUCUCACCAUAACCCUCAGCCAGAUUCUCACCAUAAGGCCCAUUAGAGUGCUCCAUUUGGCAGUCUUUAAUCUUCCCAUUUGCAUAGUUUUGAGCAUAGGCUUCAAGGGUUUUAUUCCAUGAGAGUGGACCAACACCAACCUCUUUCCUAGCUUGGUUGUGUACCUCAAGGAAGUCUUUAGGGGUGUUUUGAGCUUGGCAAGUUGAGAUCAUGAUGAAGAAAAUGGUUGUGAUCACAAGGUAUAGGGACCUCAUUUUUGGUUUUGUUUGAGUUUUUUGUUUUGGAGAGAUUGGUUGUGAGUAUGAUAUAUGGGGCAUGGUAUUUAUAGGAAGAGAGUGAAGCCCAUCAAGCAUAAAAGUACAAGAGAUUGAAUAGAAUUAUUAUUUUCAUUACCAUUGUUUUAAAUUGUGGCAGUUACAUUAUAUAUAUUAUAACUAUGGAAAAUUAAAUUGUAAGAAAAAGUAAGAAGAUUAAAUUAUUAUUUCUUACUGGCUGUGACAAAGACUUCGAAAAUUAUAAUAUUGCAACCAUAUUUUUUUCUUUGCACAUUUUUUAUAUCCAAUGUAUUGUUUUUUAUAUAACUAAACCUUUCAAUAUCAGAAUACCAGGGAUGUUGAUCUACAAACCUUUCAAUGUAUUGCCAUUUGUCCUGGUAAUUUUUAAAUUAAUUUAUUUCCUAAGCAUUGACUGAAGAAUUGUAUUUUAAAAUAAGGGUUUUUUCAAAAUAACAAUGAUGAAUAAGAUGUAAAAAAAUGAGGUGAUAAAAAAUUGAUGAGUCAAAAUUUUAAUUAGAAUUAAAUUUCGUGUUGGCAAUAUUUUAUUGGCUAUCUCCACACAAGUUUUUAUCUCUCUUAAAAGAAAAGUGGUGACAAUAUUACAAAAUAUUUGUAUUUGCUCUUCUCAUUACCUUGACUGGAUGAAGAAACAAUAAUAAAAAGAAAACAAAUAAAAAUAAAAGUAAAAUCAAUGAAGCAAACAUGAUAGAAAGUGAAGAUUUGACACAUCAUGUCGGGCUUACAUGAGAAAGCAUUAUUGAAUAUGUUUGUUUGAGAAAACGUUGUUAAAUAUAGUAUAAUCAGCAAUGUUUUAUCAAAUAAGUGUUUGUUGAUAUAUAUCUUUUUACAACACUUUUAAAGUAUUAUUACCCUAUAUUUUACUAUAUUCUUAUAGACAGCACCCUAAUGCCAAUGUUAAAUAUCAAUUUUAAGUAUUGUUUUACAAUUUUCGUGUAGUGAAAAUUUAUAAGGAGAAGAGAUAAUUAGAUUCAUAGUACAAACAACGUGCAUACGAUUCUAUAUAGCCAUAAAUGGAAGUAUAGUUAAAGAAAUGUAUUUUAUUGCUACUUUUGACGAGAUUCUAUAUUUAUAUUCGAAGAUAAUUAAUUAAUUAAUAUAUCCCUAUAUAAUAAAAAGGAUUUAAGCAUGGCAUAAAUGGAAGUAUAGUUAAAGAAUUGUACGUUAUUGCUACUUUUGACUAGAUUCUAUAUUUGUUCCAGGAUAAUUAAUAAAUAUAUCCCUAUAAUACAAAGGGUUUAAGCAUUUAGAAGAAAAAUGACAUAUCAUUCUACAGCAUCAACUUAAAAAUCCUCUUAGACAAUAAAAAAUAUAUAUAUAAAUGAUACUUUAAAGUGAUAUUUGUGAUACAAAUAUAUCAUUAUUUUAAAGAGAAUGAAUAGAAAUCCAAGCAACCAUUCAUUAAUUUCUUAAAAUGAUUAUUCAUUACUUAUUUAGAAUAAUGAGAUUUUUAAAUGAUUACUCCUUCUAAUACUUAUAAAGAAUUUGAUAGGGAACUUAAUACAUUUGAAACUUUAUAGAAUUAUUUGGGGUGUGAUUGGUUUUAAGAAAUGUUUUCUAUUUCUAUUUUAUAUUUUAUUUUUAAAAAAAAAACAAAAAACAUGUUUGUUAUUAUUAUUUUCAAAACCAUUUACUCUAAAUAUCAAAAACCAGAACAAUACUUUUACAAUUAGUUAAAUUCUAAAUUUCAAUCACUAAAGUAGUUAAGCCAAUAGUUUCAUAGGAUGUCUACAUAUUUGAUACUUAUAUUUUCUUUUCCAAUAGAUUUUAUGUAAAUAAUAUAUUAAUAAAAUUUGAUUGUUGGAGUUGGUCAUUAGCUACCACAACAAUAUCAUAAGGAAGAUGAAGAAAUAUUAUUAUGUUGAGAGAUAAAGAAAUAUAUUUUAUUAUGAAGAUGUGUGAUGGUGUGAACGAGGGAGGCAGUUAGCGACUCAUUUUGACAUUUUGUUGAUUAGUGGAAAGAGUAAUUGAAAAACAUACACCCCUCAUUCCACAUCCUUUGAUGUUUAAGAUUAUGCAUAUAGUUUAAAAAAAAUAUUAAAUCAUAUUAAAAUUAGGAAGUAUGUAAUUAUUUAAUUUGUUCAAAAUUACAAUUAUAUUAGUUUCCAAAAAAAUAUAUUUUCAAAUGAAGAGGAAACAAAUGAAAGAUGAGUUGAAUAAAUUGUGUAUCACCCACUAUCUAGAUAGACCACGUGAUAGUAAACCACAACAUCAUCCACCACUUGACUCAUUUACUCCCAAGACUAAUAGAAUCAUGCAAAUUCAAGGAUCAUAUUAUUGUUGAAGAAGUUGGCAUAGAUACUUAUAAGUUAUAACCACCAAUAAACUCAUUUCCAAACAGAAGAAGAAAACUCACAAAAUAGAAAAAGGUGUUACAUAAAUUCAUCAUGAUUCUUGAGAAUAUCACACUUUAAAUCAUCAAUUGAAUGAAUAAUAUGCCUUUUAAAAAAUUCAACCUUUUGUUGGGAGUCUUAGUCUAAUUAGUUCCCACACAAAGCAGCAAUUUUUUUAUGGAACAUAAUCAUUAAGCUAUAUUUAGCAAGAAGAUAUAUUUUGGCAAAAUGGUAGCAUCCUUAUUUAUUUACAAUCAUAAAAAUUUGAUUUAUUCAAUAUGUUGUAAUUAUCGAUGUUGCAAUUUAGGGUCAAAUGUAAAAUAGAUCAAAAGCUAUAAUAUGUGAAAGACGCAAUUUUAGAAGCAAGUACAACUGCUCAUUCAUGUAUAUAUGCUAUGGCAAAUCAAUGAACAAAGCAUCUGAAUCAUUCCUCUUUUUAUGGUAUCAGAGCACAUACAAUCCUAAGAAAAUAUACAUGGAAGCCAUGAAUGGAAAAGGAGAUCAGCCAAUGUCUUCUGUGACAAGAGAUGGGCAAACUCAGAAGAAAAAACUAUCACCAUAUGAUCUGAAUUCCAGUGUUAAUCCUGGAAACGUGAUCACACAGGUGAAAUUGAAAGACGAAAACUAUGAUGAAUGGGCUAGAGCUAUGAAGAUGUCUUUGAGAGCUAGAAGAAAAUGGGGCUUCAUUGAUGGAACCAUAGAGAAAUUCAAAGAAAGAUCCUCUAAAUUGGAAGAUUGGUGAAAUGUUCAAGCCAUGUUGGUGUCAUGGAUCUUGAACACGGUAGAACCAACUCUACGAACAACCAUGUCCUACUUGGAAACCGCCAAGGAGAUUUGGGACGACAUAGAGGAGAGAUUUUCAAUUGCGAACGAUCCACAAAUACAACAAUUAAAAUCAGAACUGGCACAAUGCAAGCAAGGGGCACUAUCCAUGGUAGCUUAUUACGGAAAACUAAAGGCACUAUGAUAUGACUUGGCAAAUCAUGAACCAAUAUUGACUUGAACUUCUAAAAGGUGCACAUGUGGUAUUCAGUUGUUGUUGAAAAACACAAAGAAUAAGAAUGAAGUCACAUAUUUCUAAUGGGUUUGGAUGAUGGGCUCUAUAGAACGGUCCGUUCCAAUUUGCUAGCCACAAGGCAUGGUUAACUCUAACUAACUAUUAUUAACAACGCAUAAUUACAUUAUUGACUGAUGAGAAAGUUCUCUUGCUUGAUGUUAAAGCAACCUUUUCUGGUUCCUAGUGCUGCAUCUUGACCGUGCCUAAGCAGCGCUAUUGGGAUGGGUCACUCGACCCUUGGCAUAACAAACUAGUCGAGCAUGCUUGGAUUGGUCUGACUAUGUAUGCAAUGGAUUCGCAUGAGCACUAGCGCAUAUUAGUGGCGCUACUAGCUCGGUCUUGACCUUUGCAAGUCACACUACUUGCCUGAAUAUCUUGGCAUAUGUUGGCCUAACCCUAACGCAUCUUAGCCAAGUCUUGGCACAUCUCCUGGCCGCAUUGGCCUGAGCCUCGUGCAUCUUGGCCAGGUCUUGGAACAUCUCUUAGCGUGCAUUGGCUUGAUGGUGCAUGUCAUGGCACAUAUUCUAGUGCAUCAUGGCCAUGUCUUGGUGCACAUUGGCAUUGGGUUUUGGCGCAUGAGAUGCUAUUAGAUUUAACAUUUUUUUAAGAUUAUUUGAGUUUGAUUUUUAGAUAGAAAACUAUAAUGGUUCAUGUAGAAAAUUUAAUAAAUAAAUAAUUAAAAAGAGAAUUGUUUGAAUUACAUUUUUGCUCUAAUGGAUAGAUAUCGAUAAUCAUAAAAUGUAUUAAAAAUAUGAAGAUAAAAAAUAUAAUGUGAAGAUAAUAAAAAUCAUACCAAACAACUUUAUAACAUAAGAUGCAUCACAAUAUAUAUUAUAUUUAUUAAAUAUUGGAGAAAGGAAAAUUAAUAUGGACGUUCACCCAUAUAAUUUCCUGGUGGAGAAUAGUUACAAAUAACAAAGACCCAAUUAUUGUCACACUUAACUCUAGCACAUCCAAGAUAAACAGAAUUACGCCACACAAUUUGAGUAUAAUGACCACACUCAUCAUUCACACAUGAAUUAGAUUCAUAAUUAUAGUUAGGCUUCUCAGUGAGCCAGAACUUUACAGCAUCUGAACCCUUCAUGUCACCAUAACCCUCAGCUAGAUUCUCACCAUAUGGCCCAUUAGAGUGCUCCAUUUGGCAGUCUUUAACUCUCCCAUUUGCAUAGUUCUGAGCAUAGGCUUCAAGGGUUUUGUUCCAUGAGAGUGGACCAACACCAACCUCUUUCCUAGCUUGGUUGUGUACCUCAAGGAAGUCUUUAGGGGAGUUUUGGGCUAGGCAAGUUGAGAUCAUGAUGAAGAAAAUGGUUGUGAUCACAAGGUAUAGGGACCUCAUUUUUGGUCUUGUUUGAGUUUUUUG
rnacentral:lncRNA from 1 species